GCAUACGUCGGUCCUCCGAAUGAUCUAGUCUAAGUUAAGAGAGAGAAGUAGAUGAUUGAAGUUCGGCGGGGGAGAAAAAAAUGUAGCGAACGGAAAGGGCAAAUUUGGUGUUUCACCGACAAAUGGCGGAAAGAUGAGUAAUGUCUUUUAAGCUGUCUGAUGGCCCUCACAUAACUACUGGCCCUGGGUACUAAUCCCUGAUAACGGCGCAAGACCAUGGAGGGGGACCCUCGGGCGUCUUGCCAUCGUCUGCGCCCUCAUGGGAUUAGCUUGUUGGUGGGGUAACGGCUCCCCAAGGCGACGAGCCGUACUGGUCUGAGAGGAUGACCCUCCCGCUGGAACUGAACACGGUCCCAUCCUAGGUAGCCCCCCUGGAUAUUGGAAAUGGCGCAGUGAUGCUCCUGCCGCGUGCAUGAAAGGCUUCAUCUUUCGGGGAAGGAAAUACCAACUAUCCUUUUU
rnacentral:rRNA from 1 species